UGGGGAAUCUUGCGCAAUGGGCGAAAGCCUGACGCAGCGACGCCGCGUGAGUGAUGAAGGCCUUCGGGUUGUAAAGCUCUGUGGAGAGGGACGAAUAAGGCGUGGCUAACAUCCACGAUGAUGACGGUACCUCUUUAGCAAGCACCGGCUAACUCUGUGCCAGCAGCCGCGGUAAGACAGAGGGUGCAAACGUUGUUCGGAAUUACUGGGCGUAAAGCGCGUGUAGGCUGCCCCGCAAGUCGGAUGUGAAAGCCCUGGGCUCAACCUAGGAAGUGCACUCGAAACUGCGGGGCUGGAGUCCUGGAGAGGAAGGCGGAAUUCUCGGUGUAGAGGUGAAAUUCGUAGAUAUCGAGAGGAACACCGGUGGCGAAGGCGGCCUUCUGGACAGUGACUGACGCUGAGACGCGAAAGCGUGGGGAGCAAACAGGAUUAGAUACCCCGGUAGUCC
rnacentral:rRNA from 1 species